rnacentral:rRNA from 1 species
UACGGAGGGUGCGAGCGUUAAUCGGAUUUACUGGGCGUAAAGCGUGCGUAGGCGGCUUUUUAAGUCGGAUGUGAAAUCCCCGAGCUUAACUUGGGAAUUGCAUUCGAUACUGGUUGGCUAGAGUAUGGGAGAGGAUGGUAGAAUUCCAGGUGUAGCGGUGAAAUGCGUAGAGAUCUGGAGGAAUACCGAUGGCGAAGGCAGCCAUCUGGCCUAAUACUGACACUGAGGUGCGAAAGCAUGGGGAGCAAACAGG